ACGCACGCUGGCGGCGUGCUUAACACAUGCAAGUCGAACGGAAAGGCCCUGCUUUUGUGGGGUGCUCGAGUGGCGAACGGGUGAGUAACACGUGAGUAACCUGCCCUUGACUUUGGGAUAACUUCAGGGAACUGGGGCUAAUACCGGAUAGGAGCUCCUGCUGCAUGGUGGGGGUUGGAAAGUUUCGGCGGUUGGGGAUGGACUCGCGGCUUAUCAGCUUGUUGGUGGGGUAGUGGCUUACCAAGGCUUUGACGGGUAGCCGGCCUGAGAGGGUGACCGGCCACAUUGGGACUGAGAUACGGCCCAGACUCCUACGGGAGGCAGCAGUGGGGAAUAUUGCACAAUGGGCGGAAGCCUGAUGCAGCAACGCCGCGUGCGGGAUGACGGCCUUCGGGUUGUAAACCGCUUUCGCCUGUGACGAAGCGUGAGUGACGGUAAUGGGUAAAGAAGCACCGGCUAACUACGUG
rnacentral:rRNA from 1 species